CUGCAGAGAGCUGAGCAGCCACACUCCCACAGAUGACAACACAGGAGGCAAUCCAGUUUGAACAUUCGGGGCUUUGAGAACUACCCUGAGACCAGCAACGCAUCGUGCAAGUGGCGGAAUCACUAACAUUCUAAAUCGACAGAGCAGACCAAGGAUCAGCCAGCUAUUGGAUGAGACGGGAAAGGCUUUUUGUCACAACCAACUUGAGCUACAUCAGCUCAGCGUCCAUGAGGGGGAAGGCUCCUAAUUGGAUGGCCAAUACCAAAAGUCAUGCAGUCUCCCUACAGCAGGGGUGGGGAACCUCAGGCUCAGCGGACAGAUGUAGCCCCUAGCUUGCCUACAUCCGGCCACUGAGGCUCAGCUUUGGGGAGCCCACAUUGGCACUCCAGCCCCCCAUCACGCACCGGUGGGGCUGAGACAUACAAAAUCUACUAGCCAGGGCCCCCUAGCUGCUGGUGUGCAAGGAGAAUAUGGGGAGUUCCUUUUUCCUUCUAGUCAGGGGCUUCUCGCUGUACUUCUCACUUGUGUGUGGCCACCAACUGAUUUUUCUGUGGGCCGGGGGCCUUGACCCAAAGAAGGUUUCACACCCCUGCCCUAGAGAAACCAUCAGUAUUUAUAAUUUUCUUUGCGUUAGGGUAACAAAGUCACAGAUAAUGGUACAUGUAGCCCAAACUCUUUUCAGGCAGCUUCUUCCAAGAAACACAAUUUGUACUGCUCACAAGCUAUUAUUUGUGUUACAGUAGCACCCAGAGACCGCCAGAAAGAUCAUGUGAGGCACUCCAUGAUCUGUUACAGUGCAUUUGUACAGCUCCUAAAAUAACAGGGGAAUCUCGGUUAGGGCCUUUAGAUGUGAGUAACACAAAUAUUAAUUCUGAUCCCCAUUUUACAGACAGGGAGUUCAGGCACAGCAAUUAAGUUAUACUGGUAGUCUACGGCAGAGCUGAAUUACAUCUCAGAUCCGCUGCCUCCUCCAUCUUGUGUCUCUUUGCUACUUAGACCCCUUUGAUAUAUACCACACUUAAAACUAGGAAAACAGAGAAGCAAUGAAGAGGGUGGGGGGUGAAUCUUGCCUCACUCCCAAUCUGUACCAGCUGUGUUCCAAUGCACUGCAAUAGUUCAAGAGCAGAAUACCACACACACCUCGCAUGCACACCGUUUAACAAAUCCACUUAAGGCCCUUAAGACUUUCAAACAAACUCCUGCUGGAGUUUAGCAAAACAGUAGCUCAGCAGAGUCCAACGGCAUAACGUUGGUACAAUGUGCUUGAGAUCUAGGUCAGAGCCUGAACGCAAGUCCAGAAUGAAAGAACUAAUCAAGAAACAGCCAACGGAGCAAGAACUAAAUGCUGCUCUUGGUUCCAUUGGUGCCCACACUGAGUAACACCAUUGCCUUUAACAGGAUUACUCUGAAUUUACAGCACACCAGGUAAGCGAGGGUCAGACUCCAUCCUUUGACUGUACCCGGCAGUAGAUUCACAAAAGUCUGCUUAGAAACUCUGGCAGAAUUUUAAUGAUGAAAAAACAGUCAGUUUAAAGAGACACUCACAUGUUAACUGGGAAAGCUCUUGGGCCUACACUCAACUGGAGUGAAAAGCUUUUGUUUGAAUGCCAGCUGCUAAUUCAGCCCCUAAUUUCUAUCUCUUUUGUGUGUGUGUUGCUGAUACACAUAGUUCUAACACAAUUAAAAGAAAAAGGUAUUUUCACUUUAUUUUUUUCUUCUCAGACUGGAAAAGUUAAGAAUAGUUCUGAUGAGAAUGGUUUGCACAGGUUUGACACAUCUGAACCCUACUGGGGACAGGCAGAACAAACAAGAACAUUCAAGGCAAGACUGGCCAAGAAGAAAGUUCUGUUAAACGUCUGUUUGGAUACUUCCAGCCAUUGUACUCGUCUAACAGGAUUUCAUUCAUAAUUGAAUCACAAAUGGAAAUGGUCAAGGACUGAUGCACUUUCACUCACUUUGAACAUUUACUGACAGGUUAUCAAAAUGGACAAUUUUUCCACCUCUUGAGAAGCUCAGGGUAUCUGGAACAGCCAUGGCCUUGUCCAUCAUCUUUCUCCAUAAGGACUUUCACCUGUUAGUGACACAACAAAGGAAACAAGGACACAGGGAUGGAGUGACUUGCCCGAAGAAAGAAAGGAAGGUUGUGGCACAGCUGGAAAUACAAAACUCUGGUGACCAGUCCUUUGUCUUGGUGGUAAGAUUCUUUUGCCCCCCAGUGUGGCUUACAAAUUAAUGACAGAAACAUUAGCUAAGUGUAAGUCCACGUUAUUUCAGGGUAGGCUGGGAGAAGAGUUGAAGACAUAAUUAAGGCCGUUUUCCCUUAUGCAAUAUUUAUAAUAAUAUACAAAAAUAAAAUGACACUUGACAGGAAAAUAAACAUUUAAUGAAAGACUGCGAUGAAAAAUCCAUCUAUUUAAAAUACUGUUUAUUUGUGAUUUAACAUUAAUUAGCAUUACAUCUAUGAGCAAUUUCAGAUAACAUUUAUAUAAUUUUCCACAGGACACAGAGUUGGCUGGCUCAUUCUUUAUGCCAAAGCAAGUAAAUAGAGGCAUUAGCAAAAAGGUGCAAAUAGUUCACGUUUGCAUUUUAAAAAAUAUUUAUGCACAUUGCAUUCAUUAAGAUAUAUUUUUUAAAAAAGUUAUGAAAAGCAUAGUUCACAGGUUACUUUUUCUACAUAUGUUGUAAUACAACACAAAAAAUGUAGAACAUAAAAAAAAGAA